rnacentral:rRNA from 1 species
GGAGUUAGCCGGUGCUUCUUCUGUGAGUGAUGUCCUUCCUGCCGGCUAUUAACCCGCAGGCCUUCUUCCUCACUGAAAGUGCUUUACAACCCGAAGGCCUUCUUCACACACGCGGCAUGGCUGGAUCAGGGUUGCCCCCAUUGUCCAAUAUUCCCCACUGCUGCCUCCCGUAGGAGUCUGGGCCGUGUCUCAGUCCCAGUGUGGCUGAUCAUCCUCUCAGACCAGCUACGGAUCGUCGCCUUGGUGAGCCGUUACCUCACCAACCAGCUAAUCCGACAUAGGCUCAUCCGAUAGCGCGAGGCCCGAAGGUCCCCCGCUUUCCCCCGUAGGGCGUAUGCGGUAUUAGCCUGGGUUUCCCCAGGUUAUCCCCCACUACCGGGCAGAUUCCUAUGCAUUACUCACCCGUCCGCCGCUCGCCACCAGGGAGCAAGCUCCCCGUGCUGCCGCUCGACUUGCAUGUGUUAGGCCUGACGCCAGCGUUCAAUCUGAGCCAUAAUCAAACUCUGA